AGAGUUUGAUCCUGGCUCAGGAUGAACGCUAGCGGCAGGCCUAACACAUGCAAGUCGAGGGGCAUCACGAGGUAGCAAUACUUUGGUGGCGACCGGCGCACGGGUGCGUAACGCGUAUGUAACCUACCUAUAACAGGGGCAUAACACUGAGAAAUUGGUACUAAUUCCCCAUAAUAUUCGGAGAGGCAUCUCUCCGGGUUGAAAACUCCGGUGGUUAUAGAUGGACAUGCGUUGUAUUAGCUAGUUGGUGAGGUAACGGCUCACCAAGGCAACGAUACAUAGGGGGACUGAGAGGUUAACCCCCCACACUGGUACUGAGACACGGACCAGACUCCUACGGGAGGCAGCAGUGAGGAAUAUUGGUCAAUGGACGCAAGUCUGAACCAGCCAUGCCGCGUGCAGGAAGACGGCUCUAUGAGUUGUAAACUGCUUUUGUACGAGGGUAAACUCACCUACGUGUAGGUGACUGAAAGUAUCGUACGAAUAAGGAUCGGCUAACUCCGUGCCAGCAGCCGCGGUAAUACGGAGGAUUCAAGCGUUAUCCGGAUUUAUUGGGUUUAAAGGGUGCGUAGGCGGUUUGAUAAGUUAGAGGUGAAAUCCCGGGGCUUAACUCCGGAACUGCCUCUAAUACUGUUAGACUAGAGAGUAGUUGCGGUAGGCGGAAUGUAUGGUGUAGCGGUGAAAUGCUUAGAGAUCAUACAGAACACCGAUUGCGAAGGCAGCUUACCAAACUAUAUCUGACGUUGAGGCACGAAAGCGUGGGGAGCAAACAGGAUUAGAUACCCUGGUAGUCCACGCAGUAAACGAUGAUAACUCGUUGUCGGCGAUACACAGUCGGUGACUAAGCGAAAGCGAUAAGUUAUCCACCUGGGGAGUACGUUCGCAAGAAUGAAACUCAAAGGAAUUGACG
rnacentral:rRNA from 1 species